rnacentral:rRNA from 1 species
CGGUGGAGCAUGUGGUUUAAUUCGAAGACAACGCGAAGAACCUUACCAGGCCUUGACAUGCAGAGAACUUCCAGAGAUGGAUUGGUGCCUUCGGGAACUCUGACACAGGUGCUGCAUGGCUGUCGUCAGCUCGUGCGUGAGAUGUUGGGUUAAGUCCCGUAACGAGCGCAACCCUUGUCCUUAGUUACCAGCACGUUAUGGUGGGCACUCUAAGGAGACUGCCGGUGACAAACCGGAGGAAGGUGGGGAUGACGUCAAGUCAUCAUGGCCCUUACGGCCUGGGCUACACACGUGCUACAAUGGUCGGUACAAAGGGUUGCCAAGCCGCGAGGUGGAGCUAAUCCCAUAAAACCGAUCGUAGUCCGGAUCGCAGUCUGCAACUCGACUGCGUGAAGUCGGAAUCGCUAGUAAUCGUGAAUCAGAAUGUCACGGUGAAUACGUUCCCGGGCCUU